GGCAGCCGUUGCCAUGGCUGCCAACAUUGAUUCGCCAACAACAGACAAUCCUAACAUAUAUCCUCCUGUAUAUUCAGAAUAUGAUACUAUUCACAAGUUACCCAAUAAAAAUCUUCCCAAAACGUCUCAAUGCAAACCUGUAAGUCCUAAAACUCAGAGAGUAUUGCAGCAACAAAAGGAUCCAAAGUUACAGUGUGCAACUCAGAAUUCUCAAGAACAAAAUCCCAUUCACUUUACUGUACCUAACGUUGCAACAAUACCCACGACUACUCAGAGUGUCAAAACACCUCAGGGGCACAUUUCUCGCACUAACACUGACAAAGCGUCUGCCCCUGUUCAUCCGCGCAUUUAACCUUACGUUAACACUUACGAAAAAAUCCCACUAAUGUCAUUAAUGCCCGCACCGGCACUUUCAAAAUCACUUAUCAGGUUUGUUCCAACUUUAUCUGCACCUGCAGGUCCUAAACAUACUCCACAAGUCCCCAUUACCACUCAGAAUGUUCCAGUAUUGAUUCCUGCUCAUACAAAUGCUCCUCAAGUACCAUUUAUUUCUCAGAAUGCACCGCAAAUUCCUUUAGUGUCUAAAUAUCAUAUUGAAAAUUCCCCCUACGUAAUACGGAAUACUCGCAAAGUAGCAUUCGUUCCUGAAGUUCUUAAUGUAAAUGUCCUACAAGAACCAUACACUUCUCAGAAUACUCCUCAAUUUUCCACAACAACAGAAAAUGCUUAUUCAUAUGUUCCAAAUGUACCACUCACUUCCCAGAUUAUUCAGAUUUCUUCUGUGGCAGACAAAUUUCCUAUAAAUCCCACAGAAGUACCGGUAACAUUUGUUUCUCAAAAUAAACCUCAGAAUUUCUCCGCGUUUGUAAAUAACAAUAAAAUUUCUGCAGAAUUACCAUUUGAUUCUAAGAAUGACCCUAUGAACCUCCAAACUUCUGUAAAUAAUACUCCUCAAAAUGACCCCAAAGUAACACCAGUGCUUGUAAAUCUUCAAAAUAACGUUCCAGAAGUUGAUAUUGCUGCUCAGAAUGUUUCUAAUAAUAUACCAGUAGCUUCUAAAGAAACCGCUAAGAAUUCCCCAGAAACUUCCGGAAAGACACGUAAUCCUUUUCAUUGUCCCACUGUUAUCAAGGAACUAUCAUAAAAUAAAUACCCUGUCCUUGUUUUUAAAAAUGUCCUCCAUCCUUCCGAAAACAUUAAAGAAUAUUACGAGAAGACAUCAUCUGAACCAGACAACAACAGAUUCUUCAGAUGUCAUCGGGAAGAAGAAAGGAGUUUCAUGUCCUCUCCUGCAUGGUUAUCAUAUCACUGUCAUAAUGAUGAUAUUCCAAUUAAACUGUUGGUUGAAGUGCCAAGAGCCCUUCGAGAUGAACCAAUUAUUGACGUCGAACUCUAUACACCGUAUUCCCAGUUGGUGGAUGAUGCCUGGAAUGAUAAGUAUGAAGGUGUGGGGAAAAUGACGUUCCUGAAAGACCUGUUGACACAGUGUUCAUACGGAAUGGCUGUUGUUAAACCCGAAGGAUCGUCUACCCGCUUCAUCCUUAUGCCAAUUGCAGCGCCGGUGAGGUCCUUGCUGCCUUCAUCAUCAGGGCGAUGGUUGGACAUCUAAAAUGUCGAUAAACCACCAGACUAAAUGGCGCUAUAACCCAGAAGACAGACAUCUUCAUACUCACCGCCAUUUGCGGGCCGAAACUGAAGUUUUAGAAACAGAAGCUGCAGUGGCCUUGACCAACUUACCAGGUACAUCAGGUAUGGAUACAAGCUAAUUCCGACAGAGUUGUAAUCCGCGUCUGACUCCCGACAAAUGACUGAUGCGUUUACAUGGGCUACCACACAACCUGGUCUUGACUUCAGGAAGAGGGCAGGCCUGGUUUACAUAUUUUAAUCAAAUAAUUUAAUAUUUCCAACUUAUUUCAAACACUGCUCGAAAUUUGAUGCUGUACCGAAUUAAAUAAACACGUUUCUUAUA